UGCCAGCAGCCGCGGUAAGACGAACUGCGCAAACGUUAUUCGGAAUUACUGGGCGUAAAGCGCACGUAGGCGGACUAUUAAGUCAGGGGUUAAAGCACCGGGCUCAACCCGGGACAGGCAAUCGAAACGGCUAAGCUAGAGGAUGUGAGAGGUGAGUGGAACUCAUGGUGUAGGGGUGAAAUCCGUUGAUAUCAUGGGGAACACCAAAAGCGAAGGCAACUCACUGGCACAUUCCUGACGCUGAGGUACGAAAGCGUGGGUAGCGGAUGGGAUUAGAUA
rnacentral:rRNA from 1 species